UGGGGAAUAUUGCGCAAUGGGCGAAAGCCUGACGCAGCGACGCCGCGUGAGGGAUGACGGCCUUCGGGUUGUAAACCUCUUUCAGCAGGGACGAAGCGCAAGUGACGGUACCUGCAGAAGAAGCGCCGGCCAACUACGUGCCAGCAGCCGCGGUAAUACGUAGGGCGCAAGCGUUGUCCGGAAUUAUUGGGCGUAAAGAGCUCGUAGGCGGUCUGUCGCGUCGGCUGUGAAAUCCCGAGGCUCAACCUCGGGUCUGCAGUCGAUACGGGCAAACUGGAGUACUGCAGGGGAGACUGGAAUUCCUGGUGUAGCGGUGAAAUGCGCAGAUAUCAGGAGGAACACCGGUGGCGAAGGCGGGUCUCUGGGCAGUAACUGACGCUGAGGAGCGAAAGCGUGGGGAGCGAAC
rnacentral:rRNA from 1 species